rnacentral:rRNA from 1 species
AUGGCUCAGGAUGAACGCUAGCUACAGGCUAACACAUGCAAGUCGAGGGGCAGCAUGAUCUGUGCUUGCACAGAUUGAUGGCGACCGGCGCACGGGUGAGUAACGCGUAUCCAACCUUCCCCUUAGUAGGGCAUAGCCCGGCGAAAGUCGGAUUAAUACCCUAUGUUUUCCAAUGAGGACAUCUGAGCUGGAAUAAAGAUUCAUCGCUAAGGGAUGGGGAUGCGUCCGAUUAGGUUGUUGGCGGGGUAACGGCCCACCAAGCCCUCGAUCGGUAGGGGUUCUGAGAGGAAGGUCCCCCACACUGGUACUGAGACACGGACCAGACUCCUACGGGAGGCAGCAGUGAGGAAUAUUGGUCAAUGGGCGAGAGCCUGAACCAGCCAAAGUAGCGUGCAGGAUGACGGCCCUAUGGGUUGUAAACUGCUUUUAUACGGGGAUAAAGUGAGGGACGUGUCCCUUAUUGUAGGUACCGUAUGAAUAAGGACCGGCUAAUUCCGUGCCAGCCGCGGC